CCUACGGGAGGCAGCAGUCGAGAAUCUUCGGCAAUGGACGCAAGUCUGACCGAGCGACGCCGCGUGCGGGAUGAAGGCCUUCGGGUUGUAAACCGCUGUCAGAGGGGAUGAAGUGUACGGGAGUUAUCUCCUGUAUUUGACAGAGCCUCAGAGGAAGCACGGGCUAAGUUCGUGCCAGCAGCCGCGGUAAUACGAACUGUGCGAACGUUAUUCGGAAUCACUGGGCUUAAAGGGUGCGUAGGCGGCUGCCUAAGUCAGGUGUGAAAUCUCUCGGCUCAACCGGGAAACUGCGCUUGAUACUGGGCGGCUCGAGUGAGGUAGGGGUGUGUGGAACUUCCGGUGGAGCGGUGAAAUGUGUAGAUAUCGGAAGGAACGCCAGCAGCGAAAGCGGCACACUGGGCCUUUUCUGACGCUGAGGCACGAAAGCUAGGGGAGCGAACGGGAUUAGAUACCCCGGUAGUCCUAGCCGUAAACACUGAACACUCGAGGAGGGGGCUUCGGCCUUCUUUCUCUUAGCGAAAGCGUUAAGUGUUCCGCCUGGGGAGUAUGGUCGCAGGCUGAAACUCAAAGGAAUUGACGG
rnacentral:rRNA from 1 species